rnacentral:misc_RNA from 1 species
CCGAGUUAUACAACUCAUCAAACCCCUGUGAACAUACCUAAACUUGUUGCCUCGGCGGGAAUCAGCCCGGCCCCUGUAAAACGGGACGGCCCCGCCAGAGGACCCCUAAACUCUGUUUUCUAUAAUGUACUUUCUGAGUAAACCAAGCAAAUAAAUCUA